GCCGGGGUGGCGGAAUAGGUAGACGCAAGGGACUUAAAAUCCCUUGUCCUUUAAAGGGCGUGCCGGUUCGACUCCGGCCCUCGGCA
rnacentral:tRNA from 1 species